CAACAAGAGUUGGGUCUACAGGGCAGAUGACUUAUCUCUUGAUGAAAAACUUUCCGAUGUCAAAAUGGCUGAAAUUGCAGAUGUUUAAGAACAACAAGUCAUUUUCUGUGAAAACUCCUGAUGGACGGAGCAUUGUCCCUUUCAAGCUGAAAGAGGUGAAACCGGGUGCCAAGGGAAUAGAAACAAUGGCAUUUAAAUGUGGUUUGUGUGCUAAAUCGGGA